UUUACACUUUGACAAACUAGUACAUUUAUCUGUUUCGUAUUCUUAUUUUGUAGUGAUAUUCAAAUGUGGAUUUGAGAGUGCAGGGUGCAUUUUUACCAGUUGGGUAAGAAAAAUAAACUUUAUUUGAUAGUUUAUUAUACUAUAUAUUUUAAGAUAGCAAAAUAGGUCUUAUUAUCUUCUUAUUAUAUUAUUAUUCCCUCACUUGCUCACCAAUGGAUGCUCUGCAGUGAAUGGGUGCCGUCAGAAUGAGAGUCCAAACAGCUGAUAAAAAACAUCACAAUAAUCCAUAAAUAAUCCACACCACUCCAGUCCAUCACUACUUACAAGGUAAAACACAUUUUUUGGAUUUUGAUGUGAGAGACAACAGGGGAUGGACUUUUUCACUGAAGGAAGCGUUAUUAUGGAUUAUGUACUCAUAUUUUAACCAGAAGUGACAGUUUAAAGUUAAAAAUGCUGGAUUUGUUUCAGCUUUUGUCUUCUCCAGAUGUUAACUGAUGGACUGGAGUGGUGUGGAUUACUUGUGGAUUAUUGUGAUGUUUUUAUCAGCUGUUUGGACUCUCAUUCUGACGGCACCCAUUCACUGCAGAGCAAGUGAUGCAAUGCUACAUUUCUCCAAAUCUGAUGAAGAAACAAACUCAUCUAGAUCUUGGUCUGAGGAUGUGUAAAUUGUCAGCAAAUUUCAUUUUUGGAUGAACUGUUCCUUUAAAGUACAUGAGGUCACAUCCAGGUUCAUCUGAGGGAGAAAUUCUAGAAGUCAGCUCAUGCCAGCUUAUCUCCAGCGGUAAUUGCGGUAUUUUCCAGCCUGUGAGUGGAGCAACAGCUGCUGCAAUGUCUAAACUUGCCAGGGGACGCAGAUAAAACUGCUGAUGCGGCCUGAUAUUUUAAGGCCUUGGGAGGAGGAUGGUGAACAUGGUGGGGCAGAAUAUUGGCCCUGAGGUGGUCUUAACUUCAGGAUUACCAGAUCUGUGUGUCUCUGUCACACAUUCCGUUUGGCUUUCUCGGAGAGCUUCUCGAUUACAAGUAAUCAGCCCUGAAGCCUGGGAAAGCUUGUUAGAGAUGACAUGUUCAGCCUCGUUGUCAUAUCAUUCUCUGGAGGUGUUCAGACAACUUGGUUCAUUACUGAAAUCGAAUUGGACGCGGCUCCAGAGGGAGGAGAGGACGGAGAUAAGCAGUGACAGGAUUGUGCAGGGAAGGGCUGGUGCUGGUGGUUUAUUACACGGCCCCGGGGCGCACAUUUCUGCGGCCGACAUGUCUGGACGCGACCCCCGCGCCAGAGUAUUGAAGCACGGCUGUGAUUGAACACAAAAGAUGGGAAGAGAGAGAGAUCUGAGACAAUGAUGUCACUCAUUCCCGAUAGCGAUGAGAAUCAUGUGGAAUUUCGGUUUAGAUUCCUUAACAGUUUUGGUUCCUUAACAAAGCUCUUAGUACUUGACUGCUAUAAUUAAAGUGACACUUCAUCCUAAACUUAAAAUUCUGUCAUCAUUUACUCACCAAUCUUCUGUCCAGUUCGAGCUGUGAAUGUCAUGAGCUGUAGUUCAGUGAAUCAGUCAAGAACCGAUCCACCCGAGUGAAUCAUUACACUGAUUCAAACUGAUUAUUUUGAAUCAUUUGAUCAUGAAUCGGACUGUUGGACAGUGUUGUUAUCGUUAACUAAAAUGAAAACAUUUUAUUUUAAUUGUUAUAACUAUAACAAAUUUUAAUUGUUUAAUACACUAGUAGAAACAAACUCAGAAAUUGCUAAUACAUUUCACAAUUAAAAUAGAUAUUGAAGUAUAAAGACUGAAAUAGUAUUUUCUUGUAAAACAUACUCCAGUAAACUUGUUUUAAUUACAACUUAAAAAAAUAUAUAUUUUUUUUUAUAGUGUAUAGCUGAAAUAAAAUCUAAAUAUUAGAUAAAAUCUUAAACUAA
ensembl:lncRNA